rnacentral:lncRNA from 1 species
GCUGCCCUCUAUUCCUAGGACCAUGAGUCCUUCUAAAUGAGGUGGGGUCCACCUACUUUGCAAAACCCUAGGUGCCAUGUGUCAUCCUCACAAUUUGGGUCCAAACUAUUUUGCCAAAAAUUGGCCCAAUGUUUACAAGUUUAAUUAAAAACUAUCUAGACUACUAAGUUUCAAAGUAAUUAAAUUUGAAAUGUCAAUGACAAGAGUCUUGAAUUAUUUAGUCUCCUUCCCGAUGCUCCAAAUUGUGUCUCCAAUAUUUUCCCUGCAAUUAAUAAUGCAAAUAAUUAGCUCAGAAAAUUCAAAUUAAUUAAAAUUAGAAUUUCCGGUCAAAUUAAGCAUAUUUAGGAAAAACGGGAAAAUACC